rnacentral:rRNA from 1 species
UACAGAGACUGCAAGCGUUAUUCGGAUUCACUGGGCGUAAAGGGUGCGCAGGCGGCCAAGUGUGUUAGGCGUGAAAGCCCGGGGCUUAACCCCGGAAUUGCACCUAAAACUACAUGGCUAGAGCAUUGGAGAGGGUAGCGGAAUUCACGGUGUAGCAGUGAAAUGCGUAGAUAUCGGGAGGAACACCAGAGGCGAAGGCGGCUUCCUGGACAAUUGCUGACGCUCAGGCACGAAAGCGUGGGGAGCAAAAGGG